UUCAAUCCUUUAUGACCCUAAAUAUCAUGUGAAAAGACAGUGGCAUUAAUAUGAUGGUAUUUACUUCAACAGAGACGCAGGAGGGAUACUAAAUAAUGAGAUCUAUAGGUGCUAAAUACAUGAGAGAACAAGUGAACAUGAGCCUUUGCAUGGAUGCCAUCUUCUACAGAGAACUGCAGAUCAGGUGGAGAUACUUGGCCAUUCCAGGGCUUGCAUACUUGAUCUCCAUGCUACAGCUCCCAUGAUCGAUGAUCCAAACAGAGAAGGCUCUGUCAAUCCAGUCAGAAGUCAGGUGAUAAUUUUUCAUUGUUCAAGUGAAGUGGGGAAAGAAAAAAGCAUAAAGGUUCUUUACAUGGCCCAUAGAGGAAGGCCCUCGUGUUGUAGUCUGCACCUUAGUGACAGAAUCCUUCUCAUAGGGAUGGUGUUUCUGCUCUUAACCGUGAAUCCAUGUUCUGAAAGUGAGAAUGUGUUUGAUCCUUGAAUUGAAGUGUUUGAGAACACACACUAAAGAAAAUCACUUACAUGGGGUUAAGAGUAUCCUUGGAGUAAAUGCUAGCUAGUGCAGUCGGCAAGGGCCU